GCCCAUAUAGCUCAGUUGGCAGAGCACUUGCAUGGUAAGCAAGAGGUCAGCAGUUCGACCCUGCUUAUGGGCU
rnacentral:tRNA from 1 species